rnacentral:rRNA from 1 species
AUUGAACGCUGGCGGAAUGCUUUACACAUGCAAGCCGAACGGCAGCACGGACUUCGGUCUGGUGGCGAGUGGCGAACGGGUGAGUAAUGUAUCGGAGCGUGCCCAGUCGUGGGGGAUAACGUAGUGAAAAUUACGCUAAUACCGCAUACGAUCUAUGGAUGAAAGGGGGGGAUCGCAAGACCUCGCGCGAUUGGAGCGGCCGAUAUCAGAUUAGGUAGUUGGUGGGGUAAAGGCCCACCAAGCCAACGAUCUGUAGCUGGUCUGAGAGGACGACCAGCCACACUGGAACUGAGACACGGUCCAGACUCCUACGGGAGGCAGCAGUGGGGAAUUUUGGACAAUGGGCGAAAGCCUGAUCCAGCCAUUCCGCGUGCAGGAUGAAGGCCCUCGGGUAGUAAUCUGCUUUUGUACAGAACGAAAAGGUUUCUACUAAUACUAGGAGCUCAUGACGGUACUGUAAGAAUAAGCACCGGCUAACUACGUGCCAGCAGCCGCAGUAA